rnacentral:lncRNA from 1 species
AAAAAUAAGAAGCACCCAUUCACUAAACCACCCCUUCAAAUCAACACACAGUCAGCAUGCAGAGAAAGAUCGCUUUGGACAUAAAGCUUAACAUUUUACCUGCAAGCCCGCUGUUUGAGAUAAACAACACCAAAUCAUUGUAUCCCCUUAGAAACUUAACAGGAUGCUCCACCUUGACCCAAUGACCGAAGACACUGCUGUAAAAAAAAAUAGGUUAUAGAGAAGACAAUAACACGUAUAUUAGAGAAAACAAUAGAAUAGGUUAUAGAGAAUAUGUUGGAAAAUAGGUACUGGUUGUAUACUGAAAUCAAUCAUUAGAACCCCUCUGGCUCUAAAACAUUGAAGAAGAAAUAUCUGAAGAAGAAAUAUCUGCACUAGUUUGGAAGCCUGAAACUCCACGCAGAAAGUAGAUUAACGUGGGUCAACUACAUCUUCAUGGUCAGUCUAAUUUCUAGUAUUACGGGUAUUAGAUUAUUGAAGUGCAAUAUACACCAAUAACCAUGUAUUAGUAACAUAGGAAAAAUAUGGAAAUAAUUUCAGGAAUACACAAUACAGGGGCGUUACAAAGCCUAAAAAAAGUUCGUAACUUCGAAUUAUCUUAUCAUACAAUUUGGUGGAGCAAAAACAAAAACUACCAACAUCAAUAUGCAGUGUUUGUCAUAAAACGACAAUUUCAUAUCCAUUACCAUUAUCCUCUAAUGCUCUGAGCAAUCUUAACGUUGGCCUGCAAAUUAUCCGGCCCUUCACCUGUGGAGGUAUUAUAUGCUUAUUUUGUCAACCAAAUGGAGAUCAUUAAACCUGAGUAAAUUUCCACUUAAUUAAGUUCUAAACACUAUAGUAAAAUCUAAAGUUAAAAAGAGCAGUUCAAUUUGACUAAAAAUACAUAAAGGAAGAGAGAAAGAACAAAGAGUUGUAGAAAGCUGUAAAAUGAUACUAAACCUGCAAGUUGAAUCAGAAAAAUAUUCAAACAAAUCUAAAAGCCAAAUUAUUCACAGGAUCAGUCUCAAAUUAAUAAAGAACUUGGGAAAUGCUAAGGAUGUCCAGCAGUUUACAUCUUCUCUAAAAAUACUACAGAUGGGUUCCUCCACUGACACUAUAAAAACAAGAGGUAUUCAUCAAUUCCCCCCCUGAACUUGUGACCAUUGGCCAAUUUCCCCAUUCAACUCUCAUAAUUAGUCAAUUUCCCCCCUCAACUCUCAUAAUUAGUCAAUUUCCCCCCUCAACUUUAAUUUGGCCAAUUUCCCCCCUCAACUCUCAUAAUUAGUCAAUUUGCACCCUACUGUUAAUUUUUUUUAAUUUUCCAUCUAUUCUUUUUUUCUUUCUUUCAAUCUUUCUAAUAACUUCCAACAAAGUACUAAAAUUAACAUAAACUCACCUGCAUAAUAUAAGGUAAAAUGUACAAAAACAUAAUACAAUUAGUAUGUGAUAUGGGUUGAUUAUAAGAAAAAGUUAUGAAUCAGGUUUAAAGCAUGUAGAAGAAGAAAUAAUAAUCCUAAACUCAUGGAUCAGACCUAUUUCAAUAAAAUGGGUUAUUCUUACUAAGGAGUCGAAAAUUAUGAAUUGACUAGCCAUUUUUGCACUAAAGCUCGAUUCUCCGCAAUUUACUUGAACUUAGCUUUCACUUUUAUAAAGAAAAUUGUAUUCACAUACAAAAAUGUACACAUCAAUCCUUUUCGUUAUCAAUAAUACUAUCUAUGAUAAAUUGUAAAAUUCUAAAUUGUUAAAAAAUUAACAGUAGGGUGCAAAUUGACUAAUUAUGAGAGUUGAGGGGGGAAAUUGGCCAAAUUAAAGUUGAGGGGGGGAAUUGACUAAUUAUGAGAGUUGAGGGGGGAAAUUGGCCAAAAUUAAAGUUGAGGGGGGAAAUUGGCCAAUAGUCACAAGUUCAGGGGGGAAAUUGAUGAAUACCUCUAAAAACAAAUUUAAAAUUACAAUUAAACUUAAUAUUUUCUCUUUUCCUCUCCCUCUUCGUGUUCCCUCUGUCCGAUGAAAACCAGAAGCGCAAAGCUUCCUAAAAUUCUAGCCAUUUUACUCAUCACUUCCCAAAAACUACAUAUACGUUUUAAUCCGACAACUAUGAAUACAUAUUCAAACUGGGAAAAAGUAGGACAGAAAACAUACCCAAAAAGUAACCGUGGCGUUCUAGCUUCUGCCAAAUCUCAGAUUUAUCAACUGAGGAGGCAAAACGCUAAAUCCCUUUUUAGCUGGGAAAGCCCUGACAAAGCACCACAACUCACCGCAAAACCAAAAUUAACAAAAAUCCAAAAUUAAAACUCAAAUACAGUACCUGAGUUGAAUAGAACUCAUUUCACUAUGAUCUGAAGACAGGCCGCGCCCAAACUGGGCUGGAAAUUCGUCGGAAAUUCGGCAACAACUUCGGAAUCCAAGACGGCAAAAGAGACAAAAUCUGUGAAGUCUUGGCCCGGCGAUUGCAAGUUUAGGAACCCUAGAAACCAAUUUUAUGUGUUUCGACAAAACGCCCACAACUGUAGGAUUGCAGGGAUGCAUAACUCCCCUCAAAUGCAGAGACGCAAAGAAAAUCCCUUAAAACACGAAAUUCAGGAACUUUCUCCUGAAUAUUUUGUGAAAUAAAGAACGGAAUAUUUGAGAGGAAUGGAGGAUUUGAGAAAAUCCCUUAAAACAUGUUUUUAACUACUA